UCUCCCAUUUUUGCCAGCAGCGUCCAAGACCCAGGCUUCUCCUCCCCACCACUCGAACCCGGACCCAAAGGGAAACGAGAGAGAUCUAGGGUCUUCUUCGAAGAAGGUAACCCAGGGAGGUUUGCCUCCCCUGCGCGCGCAUGCACCACCACCGCUACCGAUCAGUCGCCGCGAGUCACCGCCCAAGACGUCGCCAGCACCGCUGCUCGCCGCCGGAAGUAUCUCCAGCCAUGACGCCAUGACACUCGGACCGCCGCUGGCCACGGCUUCGGAUCCCUCGCCUCUGACGAGCUCAUCUUCUUCUCCGUGUAACGCUCCCUUCGAACCCCACAUCUUCCUCUGCCUUCAUCUCCGAUUUCCUUCGAGUCGUCAACACCCAUCAUCAUUAUCCUCAGCCACCGAAUCAUCCUCUCCGCCGCUGCUACUGGCACAAGAAGACCAGGCGUCGCCGUCACCGUUGCCGCCAAGACCAGACGCCACCAACCUACGCCAGAAGAAACCGCGCCCUUCACGACGGCUCAGAAUACUUGUUCCCUCUACUUGCGCGAGCUAGAUUCCAACUCCGAGAGCUCACAACUCUCAUCGCUGCUCCCAUCGAUCUUGGCGGCAGAUCUGACUUGAACUUAGCCCUAACGACACCACUGUCUUCUACCUCUGCGUGUCUCUAUAAUAUGUUUUGUGUUUGUUUGGUUGGGAAUGGGGUGUGGUGAUAGCCGUGAGGGUGAAUAUGGCUAUGGUGAUGGAGGGAACGAGGGAGGAGGGGAUGAGUCGGGGAUGAGUCAGGGAAGAUGAAACCACUGUUCUGUUAUUUUUCUUUCUGUUAUAUGAUUUUCUGGUGAAGGGAUACAGCAAAGCCAUGUUUAUGGUGUUGGAGUUGGGGAUGAAUGAGUGGCGAGGGAGAGCAUCCAUACGAAGUUACAGAACACAGCCAAAUGCAACGAAACAAAUACCAUUCCAGAUACCAUCUCAAUGGUGAUAUGGCUUCAAAAACUGAAUUUUGGUUUGGUUUAUUUGAGAAUGGGAUGGAAAAGGAUGGUGAUGGAUAAUGUGGUGAAGGGAACGGGACACGCGCAAAGAGAAGGGCCUUCUUCGAAGAAGCAGAAGACGUUAUAGAAUGGUUGGGAGAGAGGUUCCAAUGGAUGAUGAUUCAGUGAAUGUGAAGAGGGUGACGAUGGUGUUUGGUAACAAUGGCCCGUAUACAAAUAACCAUGACACAAUCAUAUGCAAAUUUAACAACAACUUAACAGAGGUAUAUUCAUAGGAAAGUAACCAACUCAGUAGAACAUGGGGUGCAAGGGAUUACUUACCUCCUGAAGAUCCGAUUGCUACUGCCAACCUUGCGCCUCCAAUGAAUCUCUCCUUUCCCUUUGACUGGCUUCUUCCUCCCUUUCCUUGUUGGAUGGUGUCUCUUGCUUUUCAUUGCAGGUGCCAAUGUCUCCUUCUCGGCAAUGGAUGAUGAUCCAGUGAAGAUGAAGGUCCCAGGCUGCGUGUCAAAUCCCUUUUACUUUUCCUCCAAAACCCCCAAAAAACCCAAACUGCUCUCCGUGCUUGUUUUUGUGCAAUUCUCUGUGCCAAAUUGCGUGUACCGAUUUCGUACGCACCCAAAUCGCGUCUGCCACCCUGCUCUCUUCCAAAACGUCUCUGCCAUCACCUUGCCUCUCUGCAGAAACGGUUUCUGCCCCUCUUCCCCAACACACGCACACCUUUUUUUUCUUUUUUUUAAUUAUAUUAAUUACAUUAAAAUAAAAUAAAAUAUAAAGAGGUAAAAAAAAAAAAAAAA